rnacentral:lncRNA from 1 species
AUUUAGUUCCCGGAAUCAGUUUUGGGCAAGAAUUUAGAAUAAAAAAAAAUUAUGAUUCUCCAUCCGAGAAUCAGAAAGAGAAUCAAAAGUGCCGAAGCCUUAUCUCCUCUCUACUCUCUCUCGUCCUCUCGUCUCGACUCUUCUCAUCAGUCUCAUUCUCUCCCUCCUCAAGAAUGGCGACGGCUGCUCCUCCCUCCGCAAGAACGGCGACGGCGACUGCUGCUUCUUCAUCGUUGAAGGGCGUCGUUCAAGGUGAGUUCCCUUCUAUGGGUGGUUCGGCGUCUGCGACGGGUGGCGCUCGUCGUCCGACCCCUGGGGCCGAUUCGGCUUCGCUCACCCUCGGCGAACUGGCCGAGGGCGAGCGACGGUGAGCUGGCCGAGGGGUCGCUCGCCGUCCGAUCCCUGGGGCCGACUCGGCGGGCGCCCUCGCCGAGCUGGCCGAGGGCGAGCGACGGCGAGCUGGCCGAGGGGUCGCUGGCCUUUUCUGUAUUGUGCUGGAUCUGUAAUUUUGUGUGCUG